rnacentral:lncRNA from 1 species
GUAUCGAGUAACUUUGACAAGUAACAUUCACAAAAAGCCCUAUAGGCGAGGCACCGAGUUACUUUGACAAGUAACACUCACAAAAAGCCUUCUAGGCGAGACACCAAAUUACUUAGAUAUGUAAAAUUAACGUAAAGCUCUCUAGAUGAGGCAUUGGGUUACUUAUAUAAGUAACACUCAUGAAAAGCCCUUCAAGCAACGCACCGAGUUACUUA